UACGAAGGGUGCAAGCGUUAAUCGGAAUUACUGGGCGUAAAGCGCGCGUAGGUGGUUCAGCAAGUUGGAUGUGAAAGCCCUGGGCUCAACCUGGGAAUUGCAUUUGAAACUGGAAAACUAGAGUGUGUGAGAGGGGGGUAGAAUUCCAAGUGUAGCGGUGAAAUGCGUAGAGAUUUGGAGGAAUACCAGUGGCGAAGGCGGCCCCCUGGCACAACACUGACGCUCAGGUGCGAAAGCGU
rnacentral:rRNA from 1 species